GGUGGUGUAAGAGACCACCAGCGAACUGAGUGAUCAGAUCGGCUAUGUAAACCUCAUUUGGAGCAAGACCAAACAGUGAGCGCUUGAGGGCUGCUCGCCCAAGCUCACGGGUAGGUCGCUCGAGGCACUGGGCAAUCAGUGCCCUAGAUAGAUGACCGUCACUUCGAAAGAAGGACAAAACCCGGCGUAAUAGCCGGCCCAUCCA
rnacentral:RNase_P_RNA from 1 species